GGAAGUGACGUCCACACUCCCGACUGGAGGCGGGCCGGGCGCCUUAGCAAAUGUUGCCGAGCUUCUCCCACCAGCGGGCAGGGGUUGGCAGUCACGAGGGAACUGCGAGGGCGAGGGAAGAGCUGUGACCUGCUGGAGGCCGGGACCUUUCUCUCAACCCGGUGGCACCUGGGGUAUCGUUUGGAUCAAUAAUAUCCCUCUACCUUUCAGGUGAGGCAAAGCAGGUGACCUUGCUUCCGAUCAGGCCCUGCAGUGACUGGAAAAAGAACAGCAAUCAGAACAGAACAUCUCAUGCACCGACCACUGGACCAGCGGUUCCCAACUGUCAUCCCACUCGGACAUCUUGUGAUGCUGGAGACACUCACUGUUGCUUGCCUGUCACGUACGGGGACAGGGGUGCUUCUCAACACUCUACAGUGCACAGGAUGAACCCCCACAAAGAUCCAGCUCAAAACAGCAGCAACACAAGACUGAGAAACUGUAGGAUUCCCCCCCCCCCCACGCUUCCCUGUGCCAUGGCCUCCGAACUCCCGUGGCAUCCUCGUUUGCUUCAACUAGACCGUUCCCAGCAGCAAACACAAAGACACAACACCCUUGCUUCGGUUCUCUCCAGCCCUCCACAGGUCCAGAAUCAACCUGCCCUUCCCUCUGGAACUGCCUCAGUCACCUGCAGUCCCCAGC